UACGUAUGGUGCAAGCGUUAUCCGGAUUUACUGGGCGUAAAGGGAGCGCAGGCGGCGCGCCAAGUCUGAUGUGAAACCCCGGGGCUCAACCCCGGGCAUGCAUUGGAAACUGGCGGGCUGGAGUGCCGGAGAGGUAAGCGGAAUUCCUAGUGUAGCGGUGAAAUGCGUAGAUAUUAGGAGGAACACCAGUGGCGAAGGCGGCUUACUGGACGGCAGCUGACGCUGAGGCUCGAAAGCGUGGGGAGCAAACAGG
rnacentral:rRNA from 1 species